rnacentral:rRNA from 1 species
GACGAACGCUGGCGGCGUGCUUAACACAUGCAAGUCGAACGGAAAGGCCUGCUUUCCCUUGUGGAUUGCGGGUACUCGAGUGGCGAACGGGUGAGUAACACGUGAGUGAUCUGCCCCCAACUUGGGUAUAAGCCUGGGAAACUGGGUCUAAUUCCCGAUAGGACUGCAGGGUGGUGCCUGUGGUGGAAAACGAUUUUCUAGUGGUUGGGGAUGAGCUCGCGGCCUGUCAGCUUGUUGGUGGGGUAAUGGCCUACCAAGGCGGCGACGGGUAGCCGGCCUGAGGGGGUGGACGGCCACAUUGGGACUGAGAUACGGCCCAGACUCCUACGGGAGGCAGCAGUGGGGAAUAUUGCACAAUGGGCGGAAGCCUGAUGCAGCGACGCCGCGUGGGGGAUGACGGCCUUCGGGUUGUAAACUCCUUUCGACCGCGAGGAAGCCACCUGGUUGGAAGGGUGGUGACGGUAGUGGUAGAAGAAGCACCGGCUAACUACGUG